AACGUAGGAGACGAACGUUAUCCGGAGUUACUGGGCGUAAAGGGCGUGCAGGCGGUCUGAUAAGUUCGGCGUGAAAUAUUCCGGCUUAACCGGGAUAGGUCGUCGGAGACUGUCGGACUAGAGGGUGAUAGAGGCGUGUGGAAUUCCGGGUGUAGUGGUGAGAUGCGUAGAGAUCCGGAGGAACACCAGUGGCGAAGGCGACACGCUGGGUCACACCUGACGCUAAAGCGCGACAGCAUGGGGAGCGAACGGG
rnacentral:rRNA from 1 species